rnacentral:sRNA from 1 species
GACCAGGAUCCGUGGACAUGGCGAACCAGGUUAUCAAGUGCAAGGCUGCAGUUGCUUGGGAGGCUGGAAAGCCACUCUCCAUAGAGGAGAUAGAGGUGGCACCCCCAAAGGCUCAUGAAGUUCGAAUCAAGAUCAUUGCCACUGCGGUUUGCCACACCGAUGCCUAUACCCUGAGCGGAGCUGAUCCUGAGGGUUGUUUUCCAGUGAUCUUGGGACAUGAAGGUGCUGGAAUUGUGGAAAGUGUUGGUGAGGGAGUUACUAAGCUGAAGGCGGGUGACACUGUCAUCCCACUUUACAUCCCACAGUGUGGAGAAUGCAAAUUUUGUCUAAAUCCUAAAACUAACCUUUGCCAGAAGAUAAGAGUCACUCAAGGGAAAGGAUUAAUGCCAGAUGGUACCAGCAGAUUUACUUGCAAAGGAAAGACAGUUUUGCAUUACAUGGGAACCAGCACAUUUUCUGAAUACACAGUUGUGGCUGAUAUCUCUGUUGCUAAAAUAGAUCCUUUAGCACCUUUGGAUAAAGUCUGCCUUCUAGGUUGUGGCAUUUCAACUGGUUAUGGGGCUGCUGUGAACACUGCCAAGGUGGAGCCUGGCUCUGUUUGUGCCGUCUUUGGUCUGGGAGGAGUUGGAUUGGCAGUUAUCAUGGGCUGUAAAGUGGCUGGUGCAUCCCGGAUCAUUGGUGUGGACAUCAAUAAAGAUAAAUUUGCAAGGGCCAAAGAGUUUGGAGCCACUGAAUGUAUUAACCCUCAGGAUUUUAGUAAACCCAUCCAGGAAAUGCUCAUUGAGAUGACUGAUGGAGGAGUGGACUAUUCCUUUGAAUGUAUUGGUAAUGUGAAGGUCAUGGUGAGUAUGGGCUUCAUUCUUUUUUAGUUUGUGGAACUGCUUUUUUUGAAGUGCAGUUUUAGAUUAAAAAUUGUUUUGUUUUGGCAAAGGAAGUCUCUUAAUAAGAAUUAUUCUAGUGAAAGAAGGGGAAAAUAUCUAUUUGAACUACAAUGGGAAAUGAUACAAGAACAGCUCAGGGAAGGAUGAGAAAAGAUGUUUCUUUGCCUUUCAAUGCCUGCUAAGUGCAUGUCUCAUGAAAUGAAAAGACAAAAUAAAGCAGUUGUGCAGAGCAUGACCUUUGGAAUCAAAUACACAUCCACUUACUAACUCAGUGACCCUGAACAGACAGCUUCUCUCAACCUCAGUUUCCUCAUCUAUAAAAUGCAGGUACAGGUUGAACAUCUAUCCCUAAUCCAAAAAUCCAGAAUGCUCCAAAUCUGUAACUUUGAGCACCAACAUGAUGCUCAAAGGAAAUGCUCACUGGGGCAUUUCAGAUUAGGAAUGCUCAGCCAAUAAAUACGAUGCAAAUAUUCCAAAUCCGAAAAAAUCCAAAAUUCAAAACACUCUGGUCCCAAGCAUCUCAGAUAAAAGAUAAUCAACCUGUAGUAACAAUACCUACUUAAACCUACAUAGACACUCAGUAAAAGUAUUACUAUUAAUUCUACUGCCUGCUUUUUAAAAUUAAAUCCUUUAGAGUUUUGAACUACCGUUUACUUUUUAAAAUAGAGAGCAAAUAAACACUUCAAAUUAUUUUAAUUUAUGUUAAUAUGUAACCAGGUUAAUUUGUUAAAAUAAAUUGUUCAGGCUGGGCAUGGUGGCUCAUGCCUGUAAUCCCAGCACUUUGGGAGGCCAAGGCGGGUGGAUACUUGAGGCCAGGAGUUCAAGACCAGCCAGGGCAACAUGACGAAACCCCAUCUCUACUAGAAAUACGAAAAUUAGCUGGGUGUCGUGGCACACGCCUGUAAUCCCAGCUACUAGGGAGGCUGAGACACGAGAAUCGCUUGAACCCAGGAGGCGGAUGGUGCCAUGAGCCGAGAUCAUGCACUACACUCCAGCCUGGGUGCCAGAGGGAGACUCUAUCUCAAAAAAAA